GUCCUUGUAGCUCAGUGGAUAGAGCGUUUGGUUGCGGUCCAAAAGGUCGUAGGUUCAACUCCUACCAAGGACA
rnacentral:tRNA from 1 species